rnacentral:lncRNA from 1 species
AUGACUGGAUUUCCACUUUUGCCUCUCCCUCGUUUUCUCUUGCCGCCAUGUAAGAAGUGCCUUUCACCUCCUGCCAUGAUUCUGAGGCCUCCCCAGACAUGUGUAACUGUAAGUCCAAUUAAAUGUUUUUCUUCCCAGUCUUUGGUAUGUCUUUACCAGCAGUGUGAAAACGAACUUAUAAACUCUUUAAUUCCUGAAAUUGCCAAUUUUUUUUUCUUGAUCAGUUUCACUAGAGUUUUAUCAAUGUUGUUCAUCUUUUCAAUAAGCCAACUUUGAUUUUUCUCUUUUACUUUGUUGCAUUUAUUCUACUGCAUUGAUUUAUGCUCUUGUCUUCAUUAUUUCACUCUCUCUGCUUACUUAAGGUUUAAUUUAUUCUUGUUUCACUAGUUCCUUUAAGGUACAACCUCAAAUCAUUAAUACAAAGCCUUUUAUUUCUUUUCUAAUACAACGAUUCAGCUACAUCUACCAGGUUUUGAUAUGUGAUAUUAUGAUUUUAACCUAGUUCAAUUUUUUUUUAAUUUCUCUUGUGAUUUCUUCUGUAAUGCAUAGAUUGUUUGGAGCCUGUUGUAUAAUUUUAAAUAUUUAAGAAAUUUUCAUAUAUUUUGCUGUUACUCAUUUCUAGGUUAAUUUUGUUACAUUUAGAGAACAUCCUUUGUAUGAGUAUAACCCCCUUACAUUUAUUGAAUCUUGUUUUAUGGCCCAGAUUAUUUUGGUGUUUUAUGUGCAUUUGAAAGGUGUGGGUUUUCUAUUGUUGGGUAGAGUGCUCUAUAAAUAU